rnacentral:rRNA from 1 species
UGCGUAGGUGGUUUUUUAAGUCAGUGGUGAAAGCCUACAGCUCAACUGUAGAGGUGCCAUUGAAACUGGGAAACUUGAGUAUGGACGAGGUAGGCGGAAUUUGUGGUGUAGCGGUGAAAUGCAUAGAUACCACAAAGAACACCAAUAGCGAAGGCAGCUUACUGGACCAUAACUGACACUGAGGCACGAAAGCGUGGGUAGCGAACAGGAUUAGAUACCCUGGUAGUCC